CAGAAACAUCUGAUCUAACAGACACAUUCUGGCAAUACCACACCCCCUGCUCCUCAACACCCACCAGCAGGAUGCACAUCUCUUCCAGAGCUGCGGAGCAGCUGGAAAGAAAUGGAAGGAAUGAUAACCUCCAGGACAAUCCUGAGUCAUAAAAUAUUGAUAAUAAUUGACUCAAAGAAAGAAAGAAGAGUUUUCUAGGAAAGCUACGAGACAACUGAGGAAACAUGUCUAGGAGAGUGAAACCUCAGUCAUGGCAAAGCACUUCUGGAAUCCAAAUGAAGAUGGAGAUGUCAUGGAAACUUGGAUCUGGAUGAUCCAACAUUCCUCCAGCUUUGCAGUGGAAGGCCAUGGAGAUACUGCAUGACAUGGUGCGGCUGUUUCUGACAAGAAGAAAAAUGCAUUGUUUCCCUCGUCAUGAAGCCUUCCUACUGAUGUGUGACUCUCAUACUUCAGAGCUGGCACCCAAAUGCAGGUCUGCCUUCCCCUCAAGAAUGUGCUUUUGGCAGCUUCCUUAAAACUGCACCUGCACGACCACCUCAUAAGCCUCAGAAAAGCCAGCGUUAGCAUUUUGUGAGCAGAAGAAGCAGGCCAAGCACUGCAUUCCCUGAAGAAUUCCUGGGCAUCCCUCCUGGCUUUGUGUCUUGUCUUGCAGGAGAAGGAGGUGCACCCAUGUUCCCCCUCACAAGGACAUGAGGGAAUUGGGACCAACUGCUGCUGCCACCACUGCCACCUGCUGAGAUCUCCAGCUCAAAGUGACCUGGACCUACUCCAUCUUCUGGGGCAGAGAGGCUACAGACACCUGGGGUCAGACUGGCAAAAGUACCGAGUGAUCUGCAUUGCAAGCAAAGUGCCUUCAGAGUAACAUUAUGGGAGUCUCUGGUUCCAGAGGUUCAAGAAUCCUGGCCAUUCCCAGCAGAAACCCUGGAAAGAAGUUCCCUGUACCACAAUCCCUCUUGUUUCAGCCAAGGAUGUAUUUUGCCCUCAUGGAUAGUUUGUAUCAGGCUAUCACAUGUUUGCCACUGAUUUCCUCUCCAAUUUGGGUGACUUCAGCAUCAAAGCUCACUAACAAGGGCCUUCUAGAGGCUGCUCAGCUCAUUUGCUUCUAUCAUCUCAACUUCAUGUCUUGCCCAAAGAUGUUCUCAAGUGUUCUUAUUUAUUCACUGAACUUUUCCCAACAUUAGGCUUUCUUGUCCACCCACCAUUCUCCACUCCCCCUCCCAGUCCUCUCCACAAUUUUCGUUUCCUUGUCCUUUUCUCACAGUACGUGCUCAGCUCUUACAUUCGCCAAAAGCAAUUGUUUUUUUCUUAUAUAUCUGCAAUUUUGUCUUUCACAACAGUAAUCCUCUGCACUCUGUAGAUUUUAAUAACAUGCCAUUGUCUGAACAUAUAUAAUAUGCACUUAAAAAAAUGAAGAAGAAAAACAAACAUAUGACUGUAAAGUGAACGGCCAGUUAGUGAUCCCAACUCCCCUAAUCUCUCUGUCCUCAUUUCACUUCAGUAAAAUGGAAGUUGGUGCUUGCUCCUUCUUCUUUUCGCAAGAGCUGCAGUAAGGGG
ensembl:lncRNA